GAAUGCUUUAUGCAGGCAGGCACCUGGGACAUUUCUUUAAAAAGAAAAUCAACAGAGGUCACUCUCUUAAAACACAGUCAGCAGAGGAGGAGGCAUGGAGAUACUGUGACUAAGCCUGCAUUCACCACUUCAAUGUUGCGAUCGGUCAGUGCCCUAAGGCCAAUGUCUUUCCAUCAACGGGGCCGUGACCAGACCCGUUCUAAGAAGAGCCUCUACUUCGUAAAGAGCUCAUUUUUCUCCCCAUCUCUGAUUCAUCAUCUUUAGGUUCUCUGUGUAAGGAGGAAGUCAUGAAGGAAAAAAGGAGCUAAAGGAAACCACUGUACUUUCUCCAGAAGGUGCCCUGAGCCUUUCACAACAAUCUCUUACCUCUAAACUGACCUAGAUGAAGUUUCUCCCCUCCAAGCGUGAGAACUUCUCAGGAAGGAACUGAGUGCCAGCAACUGCUGCCACGGGGAGGGAGCAUAGCAACACAGGAUUACCUCGCGGACGGAAACCACUUCCGGAAGAUGCCCUACAAAUACGUGGGGAAUCAAAGAAAUACUGGAGCCAGCUCUUCUUGCCUUCUGCUGGUGUGGGGGUGAUCUCAACAAACUGAAGCACAGAAACAUCCUCUGUGACUAUUAUCUUCUGCAAAGGUGCUAGAGGCUUUUGGAUCUUUAAUAUUCUUGAUUUCACAAAUGCACACAGAAAUGACAUAGCUACUGUCCUCAAAUCUCUCAGAAUACAUGCUAUAUCCAUGUGAUAUUCCAGUUAUAGCAGCUAGGGCUGAGUAUUUACAGCAAUUCAUUUCGCUUAUUAAACAUCACUAUACCCUCAAGCCAACUCCUACAGCUGAGAGAAGUCAUUACAUUUUUAAUGCUGUCUAUAUUCCCAAUAGUAUAUCAAGGCUUUUCUAUUUUUUAAUUAUUUUCAUUUUUCUAAACCAUGAGAUCUGCCUUCUGGGCACCUAUGUUUCAGGUUAAGUAAGACUAAACUGAUUCUGUAGCUAUAUCAGUGGGGGGGGAAGGGGUUUGUUUGUUUUCCGUCUUUUUAAAGUAAAUGUCAAAUCCAGCUUGAGCACUGGAAACACACCAUAUGACUGGUAUUUGAGGAAAAGCUGUUGGCUUGUCUCUUCCCCUGACAAAUUCACAUCUGCUUUACGGCGAUCAGUUUAGGCUACUGGAUCACUAUUUGGCAGGGUAUUAUUCUGUGUACGGCUCAAUACUAUACCAUACAGGGCACGCAAACGAGACCACCUAUCUAUUUCUGUGGAUUUCUGAGUUAAAAUUCCAAAAGCAUUUAAGGAUAUUUCUAAGCCACUAAAUUGCAAGAAAUCUAAAAUAUUGCUUCGCCUCAGAAUACAGGCACAAAAAGCAUAUUUGUUCACAAUUCGUUCACAAUAUUUGCCACUCUUCCAACACAUUUUUAGUAAUGGUUGAGCUAUAUUUAACACCAACCUGUUGGUCCUAGAAGAAAUAUUCCUAUACUAUGGUGGACUAGUAGCUAGAACAAGUUUUUUCAAAGCUAAGAUUCCUGGCUGUCUUGUAAACUGCUGAUUUUAUUGCGCAGCCUCAAGCAAUUCACUUAACAUCAUCAAGCUGCAGUUUUCAUUCUGCUAAACAGUUACGGCUUUACAUUGAUACUUUCACCGCCUUCGGACUCACCCAGCUCGCUACUUAAACGCAUUUCUAGUUGCAUGUAUGCACUAAAUUCAAUUAGCUUUGCUAUUAGGUUUUGGUAAAGCCUUAAUGGAUAUUUGGAUAAUAUAUAUAUAUUGGAUAAAAAUAUAAUGGAUAUCUGGAGUAUGGAUACUCACAGGUAUCUGAUGUAAACAGUCAAAAAUUAUAGCAAUUAAGCAUCUGGUUGAACUACAGCCUUUAUGUUUUAGGUAGAGGACGCUAAAUAUACUGAAAGGCUGCAUCUAAUAAACCUAAUUAUUGGAGAACA
rnacentral:lncRNA from 1 species